UGGGGAAUAUUGGACAAUGGGCGAAAGCCUGAUCCAGCCAUGCCGCGUGUGUGAAGAAGGUCUUCGGAUUGUAAAGCACUUUAAGUUGGGAGGAAGGGCAGUAAGCGAAUACCUUGCUGUUUUGACGUUACCGACAGAAUAAGCACCGGCUAACUCUGUGCCAGCAGCCGCGGUAAUACAGAGGGUGCAAGCGUUAAUCGGAAUUACUGGGCGUAAAGCGCGCGUAGGUGGUUCGUUAAGUUGAAUGUGAAAGCCCCGGGCUCAACCUGCGAACUGCAUCCAAAACUGGCGAGCUAGAGUAGGGCAGAGGGUGGUGGAAUUUCCUGUGUAGCUGUGAAAUGCAUAGAUAUAGGAAGGAACACCAGUGGCGAAGGCGACCACCUGGGCUCAUACUGACACUGAGGUGCGAAAGCGUGGGGAGCAAACAGG
rnacentral:rRNA from 1 species